AUCAGCGACUACGCCAAGUCAUUUUUACAGCACAGCACAAUCUCUCGGCAUAUUUAUUCUAAUUGCUGUUCAUUAUUUGGGGGCAUUUAGAACAAUCCCAACAACGUGAUCACGCCCUGUCUCAGUACUGAUGAGGCUGCUCGCUGUGAAUCACUCAUUUAGCUUCUCUCUGGUGCCGCUGCAACAGGUUAUUUUUGGGCGCUGUCGCUGGGGUUUCGCUGUGCGGCCGCAGAGGGCGCAGCGAGCGGAGCCGUGCUCGACAGGACAGCGAGAGUGGAAGCGGCGUAUCUCGGCUCAGGUCGCCGCGGCUGUGCGGCGCCAUCGAAGCGAGACGGGCAGUGGCGCAGCUUCCCCAACAUUUCCUGCCAUCUUCAAAGAUAUUUUGAGCAUAUAUCCCGUCUGUUUUUGCAUCCUUAUUAAAGCUUUAUUGCUUUAAUAGGGGUGCAAGAACAGAUCUGUGUACAGUUGCUCAUUUUGCCAGAUGACAUGGGCCAUUCUGAUAUCUCUUGCAUCCAUUUCAUUCCUUGCUACAUACCCUCAACUUCAUUUUAUUUGGAAUUCUGCUCCACACCUCGAAUGUCAUCUAAUCUAUGCCAACAAGAAUGGUGGUCUACUCAUUCUAUCCAAAAAGCUUGCAACCUUUGGAGGAAUCCAAAGCAGUGACCAUGGCACUGGGGACAGCGUGGAAACAGAUGUCUUGGCUUUACUACCAGUACCUGUUGGUUACAGCACUGUAUAUGCUUGAGCCAUGGGAAAGGACCAUAUUCA